rnacentral:lncRNA from 1 species
AAUGUGUGAAAUAAUAGAUAACGCUUAUUUAAAAAAGCGCUAUCUAAACCUAUAACAAUAUAUAGCGUUUUUUUUAAAAAAAACGCUAUGUAUAUGGAAUUAUUAUUAAUUUUUUAAUUUAUAAUUUAAAAUAAACAUAAUAGACAUCGUGUUUUAAAAAAGGCGCAAUCUAUUUUGUUAGAUAGAUAGUUUUUUUUUUUCUUUUAAAAAAAGAAGUGUUUAUUAAACUCUUAAAAAAUUUUGAAAAAGGUUUUCAGUUCCUCUUCGUCUAGAUGCUCUUUUACUUUCUCUUUCGAUCUUCUGAGUCAAAAUUUUUCUCCUUUUACCUAAAUUUCCAGUUUCAUUUCGUCCAGAUUCAUCAAACCCACUACCCCUAAAUUUCACUUUCUAUUUGCCCCCAAAUAUCUUUUUGUGUUUGCCCCCGAAUUUCAUACGUUGGUUCGAAACCUACGUUGGAUUCAUCAAACCUAAUUGUUAUGAGUAGAGUAAGUCGGUGUUGCGUCUCUUCUCCGUCAUUGCUCGUCGGGCAAGGGUUCAAGAAACUAGUGCGCAAGCCCUAUCUCUUUCAAGAAACCAGUACGCUUGCGACCAGAUUUAAUGCUUCGCCAUUAAAGCUAGGCAUUUUGGUGAGCUCUCGAACAUCUUAAUCUCUUUUACAUGGCAGCUUUAAUCCCUUCGAGCAAUACUCUUUCUCGAACAUCUUCAUCUCUUUUAUACGCUAAUGUAGCACUAUAUAUCAUCCCCUCAUCCAUCAUUCUCCCCCACCGAUAUUUUUUAUCACCACCACUGGAUUCACACCUUCUUGUAACCAUAUGACUCCCAUUUGUGCAUUGCUUUAGGUUAUGAAUCACUGAUUUUUUUAAUUUUAUUUUAGGGCUUGUAUGUGUAUUAGUUAAAUAAAGUGGAUAAAACAACUUAAGGAAAAUGAAACUGUAUGUAUUGUUGAAUUUUUUGGAAGUGAUUGCAUAAGAUUUAUUAAUGAAGUUUGUUGGUUAACAAUAAAAACUCUGGUAUAAAUUUAUAUAUAAAUUGUUGUCAAAGAGUAACUAUUUGCUAAAGGUAGUUGUUUAGUUGAGAGGGGUCCUAUAUAUUCUCGUUAAAAUUAAUGUACCUUGUAGUUUUCUUAGU